rnacentral:rRNA from 1 species
UGGCGAACGGGUGAGUAAUGCGUAAGUAACCUGCCCCUAAGUAGGGGACAACUCUGAGAAAUCGGAGCUAAUACCUUAUGUGGUGGUGGAGGUGAGGCUCCAUCACAAAAGCCUUCGGGUGCUUAGGGAGGGGCUUGCGUCCUAUCAGGUAGUUGGUAGGGUAACGGCCUACCAAGCCAAUGACGGGUAGCUGGUCUGAGAGGACGGCCAGCCACACUGGGACUGAGACACGGCCCAGACUCCUACGGGAGGCAGCAGCAAGGAAUAUUGUGCAAUGGGCGAAAGCCUGACACAGCGACGCCGCGUGGGGGAAGAAGGCCUUCGGGUUGUAAACCCCUUUUCUCAGGGAAGAAUAAUGACGGUACCUGAGGAAUAAGUCUCGGCUAACUACGUGCCAGCAGCCGCGGUAAUACGUAGGAGACGAGCGUUAUCCGGAUUUACUGGGCGUAAAGAGGGCGUAGGCGGUCUUUCAAGUCGGAUGUGAAAUCUCCCGGCUUAACUGGGAGGGGUCAUUCGAUACUGUUGGGCUAGAGGGCAGCAGGGGGAGGUGGAAUUCCCGGUGUAGUGGUGAAAUGCGUAGAUAUCGGGAGGAACACCAGUGGCGAAGGCGGCCUUCUGGGCUGUUUCUGACGCUGAGGCCCAAAAGCGUGGGGAGCGAACAGGAUUAGAUACCCUGGUAGUCCACGCUGUAAACGAUGGACACUAGGUAUGGGGAGUAUCGACCCUUUCCGUGCCGAAGCUAACGCUUUAAGUGUCCCGCCUGGGGACUACGGCCGCAAGGCUAAAACUCAAGGAAUUGACGGGGGCCUGCACAAGCAGCGGAGCGUGCGGUUUAAUUCG